UUCUCCUGUAAUCAGUCUGGUAACUUUUAAAGCAGGGCAGGCUGCCCUAUUAUAUCUUUCUAAAUGCUCUUCUCAGUAAUCGCAUCCUGGUAGUAAGUUGUAGUGCAGAAAUGAGGCGUCGGCUUUUUAAAGGCAGUAUUUGGAAGGCAAUGCCCUUGGAAAGUAGUAUUAUUCCAAAUGUGGUUCACAUUAGAUUGUCUGAAUUAGGGCUCCAAGAAAAUCAUUCUAAUUGGUCACAACUGUUAAAUUUUUGUUUAAAAUAAUACCUUUUAUUUCACAUGUGGACUUGAAACCUGCCUUGUACACAAAAUGACUUAUUUAAAAGGAUACAGAAACAAGGUUAAAAAAAAUGGAAAUAAAACAAAAAGUGGGCUGUAAAACAGAGCCAGAAAUGAAACACACACUUUUAACCUAUCUUCUUACUAGGGAUGAUACACAAAAGUAGUUUCUACAGCCAGAGUGCGUGGUGGUAUCUUAAAUUUACGGAGGUGGGGGGUGGGUAAAAGUGAGUAUAAAUGAAAACUCUAGAACAAGAAAAAGUACUACUUUUCAUUUUCAGCACUGGCAAAUUACUGGCAUUUUUUGUUUAUAUUGCUUUUUAAUAUGAAAAUAGUAUGAAUUUGGUUAAGCAAGAAACUCAAAACUGUACCAAAACAUCUACCUCACCUUCCGAAACUGAGGAAAUCCCUUCUGUUUUAAGUUCCUCCAGAACAUUUCUAUCUGUACAAGCAUUUUUUUUUUUUAAGCCAAAGGUGCUUUGAACAUAGCUGGCGCUCGUUACCUUUUUGACAACUGAAAGUUAAUCCUGAGGUUUGGAAAUUCGCACCUUGAAAAUGUACACAAAGACCACGCCUCCUGUUGUUAAGCGCAGCAAGCGCGAUUUGUAGUGUCCAACGGUGACGCAGUCUGCCGCUCGGAAGGCGACCCACGCCGUCCAAGGACCGGGGCCGGAAUGAAACCUCCCGCCUCGCCGGGUGAAAGUACCUACGCCGCGUAAGGCGGGCUGGCCCCGUCCACUGCCGGAAGGGGAUGAAGCUGGCGCCGACCGUGCUUCCGGUCACGCGGUGGUCAGUGACCCCGGAACCACAACCUCACUCCGGAAGUGGCUCAGGGGCGGAAGGGGGAGAAGUGAACUCAGCUUUGGUUCGUCGUGAGGGCGUUUCGGAGGUCCGACGGGGUAAAUCGAGCGAGGCUGCGGAAGUGCUAAGCUCUGUAGGGCUGCGGCCGCCCGAACUCCCGUAGCCUACCGCCUUCCAGCGUAGGCGGACGCUGUGCAUCUUCCGCCGGUGCUGCGCGCCGCAGGUAGUGGAGCUUACUCGCUCUCCACUAGCUGCUUCACGCGUGAGGAUAUCAAUGGAAAAGCCCCGGUCCCAGGCACAGGCAUGGGCAUGAAUAUGGGCGUGAGCUUUAUGGGGCUGCCACCAGUUGACCAGAAACACAGGAGUGGACAGAUGGAGGCCGUGGUACUGAAUUGCUCAUUGUGCCAGCAGGACUUGCAGUACGUGGGUGCCCGGCUCCUACCCUGCCAGCAUUUGCACUGUAAGGACUGCUUUCAGGGCUUGAUCCAGGAGCUGGGGCAGGUUGCCAAGGCUCAUGGGACUGUCUCAGACGCCAAAGGAACAGCACCCCUGGGAGGUUCUUCAUGCACCAGGACUGGUGAUAUCAGUUUCUCACUGAAUGUUUUCUGAAGGACUGAAAAAGAAUGGCGCCCAAAUGAGCUGAC